rnacentral:rRNA from 1 species
AGCAUAUAAGUAAGCGGAGGAUAAGAAACUAAAUAGGAUUCCCUAAGUAAUGGCGAAUGAACAGGGAAGAGCUCAGCAUGAAAAUCGGGGCCUAUGGCUUUGAAUUGUAGUCUUGAGACGUGCUGCCAGCGGAGGCGCAGAUGUAAGCCUCUUGGAAAAGAGCAUCAAUGAGGGUGAGAGUCCCGUUUGUCAUCUGCAGCCCUCCGUGUACGGUGCGCGUUCUGAGAGUCACGUUCCUCGGGAUUGGAGCGUAAAUUGGGUGGUAAAUUUCAUCUGAAGCUAAAUAUUGGUUCGAGACCGAUAGCAAACAAGUACCAUGAGGGAAAGGUGAAAAGGACUUUGAAAAGAGAGUUAAAAGUGCCUGAAAUUGCUGAAAGGGAAGCGAAUGGAACCAGCUUUGCUUGGCGAGAUUGUUGCUUGCUAUGGUGCCGGUGGGCUGAGGUAGCGCAAGCGCUUCGGCUUGCUCUUAUCCUGACGCAUGCAGUGGUUCUUGCCUUGUUUGUCAGCGCUGGUAUGCACCUGAUGAAAACCGCAGGGACAUGGUAGCUUGUCUCCGGAUGAGUGAAUAUCUCUGUUGGGAGUCACGUGUGUACUGGAUAUGGCGUGCCUCUUUUGGUGAGCCACAAGAUCGAUGACUAAAUGGUUCUAUCCGACCCGUCUUGAAACACG